UGCAGAGCUCCUCAGUGUCACAUGGAGUCUUCUGACCACACCUCGGGGUCUCCCCGCUUCCCUCACUGCACCCUGUUAAGUCCUUCCAUGACAUGGAUAUCUACACUUGCCGGAGAGUGAGCAGAUGAGCCACACUGGACCAGCAGAGACGCCCCAAACAAAACACUUGCUGGAAAUACUGUCUGUCCCGGCUGCCUUCCCACUCCUGGCUGCCCGGCAGGCUUCCCUUACCAGCAGCACAAGGACUCUUCAGAAGACACUGGUCUUCAAACUCCACCUCCAGGAACCAAGGAGUUUCCUAUUUCAGUUUUCCUGCCCGGCCUGGAGAGUGAAGCCGCUUGAAGAACCCACUUGUAGUCUUCUCUUUACUGUCUUAUAUACUGGGGUUUCAGAUUAUAUUUUUAUUAAAAGUUAGAAUUACAUUUAA